rnacentral:rRNA from 1 species
AUUGAACGCUGGCGGCAGGCCUAACACAUGCAAGUCGAGCGAGCGGCGGACGGGUGAGUAAUGUAUGGGGAUCUGCCUGAUGGAGGGGGAUAACUACUGGACACGGUAGCUAAUACCGCAUACCCUCAUAUGAACCCAUAUGGGUUUAGCGGGUAGGUAAGGUAACGGCUUACCUAGGCGACGAUCCCUAGCUGGUCUGAGAGGAUGAUCAGCCACACUGGGACUGAGACACGGCCCAGACUCCUACGGGAGGCAGCAGUGGGGAAUAUUGCGCAAUGGGGGCAACCCUGACGCAGCCAUGCCGCGUGAAUGAAGAAGGCCUUCGGGUUGUAAAGUUCUUUCGGUAGCGAGGCGUUAACUACAGAAGAAGCACCGGCUAACUCCGUGCCAGCAGCCGCGGUAAUUC